rnacentral:rRNA from 1 species
UGUGCUAAGGUAGCAUAAUAAUUUGCUGUUUAAUUGGCAGCGAGCAUAAAAGAUCUGACGAAAGUCAAACUUUUUUUCUGUCCACUUAAAUUUAUAUAAAAAUAAAAAAGUUUUUAAGUACCAGGAGGACGACAAGACCCUAGAACCUUUACUAAUUAAUGCUUGGUUUAACUGGGGCGGUUUAUAGAUCACCUCUAGCUUCUUACACCACCUUGAGUGAGCCCUACUAACUUUUAAUAAUAAACAAAAAGGUACUCUAGGGAUAACAGCAUAAUUUUUAUUGAGAGUUCGUAUCAACAUAAAAGAUUAUGACCUCGAUGUUGAAUUGGUGCAUCUUUAUUAGGCAA